CUGUGGCUUAGUGGUCGAGCAUCUGCUUUGGAUGCAGAAGGCCCUGGGUUCAAUCCCAGGUAGGGAGA